UUUUAUGAGAGUUUGAUCCUGGCUCAGGACGAACGCUGGCGGCGUGCCUAAUACAUGCAAGUCGAACGCUUCUUUUUCCACCGGAGCUUGCUCCACCGGAAAAAGAGGAGUGGCGAACGGGUGAGUAACACGUGGGUAACCUGCCCAUCAGAAGGGGAUAACACUUGGAAACAGGUGCUAAUACCGUAUAACAAUCGAAACCGCAUGGUUUUGAUUUGAAAGGCGCUUUCGGGUGUCGCUGAUGGAUGGACCCGCGGUGCAUUAGCUAGUUGGUGAGGUAACGGCUCACCAAGGCCACGAUGCAUAGCCGACCUGAGAGGGUGAUCGGCCACAUUGGGACUGAGACACGGCCCAAACUCCUACGGGAGGCAGCAGUAGGGAAUCUUCGGCAAUGGACGAAAGUCUGACCGAGCAACGCCGCGUGAGUGAAGAAGGUUAUCGGAUCGUACAACUCUGUUGUUAGAGAAGAACAAG
rnacentral:rRNA from 1 species